UUAAAAAUAUCUACCAAAUCUUCCCAUUAAAACAGUCUUGUUAAAGUUGUCUGUUCCAAACAGAACAAUAUUUUACUGUUCUUGGUUAUGUGGUUUUCCUUCUCAGAUUUCCAUGAAAGCAUGUGUUUCACAAAGCGUAUCAAAGUUGUCUCGUAGGCAAAAACAUGUAAUCAUCAAGCGUGUAAUUUUGUUGAAAUCCCCUCAAAAUGGCUAGCCAUGCUGCCUGAACCAUUCAGAGACAUAAGAGGAAAAAAAGGAUUUUGCAGGCACUCCAAACCUGGGGGUGUGGAAGAGCUUAGAAGAGCCUGUGGCUCUGCAGUCACCCAUCAGGAAGUCACCCAAAUGCUUUUUAUGUUGCAUUUUCUUCAUUUGGGAGGCAACUACUAUGUAAAGGUUAUGGGUUCUACUAAUGAAAAAUGUAAUACAAGGUCCAUGUGUGGCUGGGUUGGCCCAUACCUGUUCCAGCCAUACCUGCUGUUGUGAUGCAUAAUCCUGGCUCCUGCUCAUGGGAAGAGCAUCCUGCAGCACUGCAGGCGGGAAGUUUCCCCCUUGCACUGGCUCCACAUUGAGCUUUUUCUUCUUAAUGCAGCCAAUGCCAAUUAAGAAGGACUUAAGGAGGACAAGCUCACUUCUUCCUUGCCUGGUUGUUCAGGGUGAAUCAUUAGCAAAGCACUUGAGUGACAAACCAAAAUUGUUGAGUGCCUUUUGCAGUCUGCAUGGACACUCUACCUUCUGUAGCAGCCUAGCAAGUCUUUUGGCGAGAAGAAUUAUAAUCCUUCUCCUAGCAGCACUUCAUGAACUGAAAUCAUUCUCUAGGAUGAUGAUGACAUGCCAGUUCUUGGUAUAUGGACAUGAGUCCUGAGAUCCCACACGUGGAUACACAAAAGGACUACAUAGAAUGCUGAAGAUUGGGAAGAUACCCUUGUGGGAAAGGUGUCUGCAUAUUGAUGACAUCAGGGGUUUGACCUGGCAGUCUUCCAGUGCUCAAAUCACUGCUUCCACCUUGGCAGAUGCAGGUUUAGAGAGUUUCUGAAAUGUUCUAGCACAGAGAGAAGAGGACCCAAAAGUCGCAGCUGGAGAGGAGAUCCUAGAGGGACAUCACCCCUGAAGGACAGUGAUCUCUGCUUUUCACCAGCUGUCAGCACUGCUGAUCCAUGUGGGCUAGGCAGGGCGAUGCUGCCUUCUUCAUGUAAAUCAGAAGAGCAAGGAAAGCUAAUUGACAGCUCAGUACAGGCCUCAGGAAUAAUGGCAGGUGGGUCCUGGACUGGACAACAGUGGCAACUUUUACCCCAUGACUGUUGGCUACUGACUGAAAUCAAUUGCUGUACCUCAAUUUAUAGCAACAAAUAUUUGGUCUUGCUUGAAUCUACUUGAGAAAUGGCACUUCUUCUCCAUUUUCCCACCUUAUCAAAUCUCCAAAGGCAUCCCAAACUCACCUAUGGCUUACCUCCAUGGUAAGGGGCGAACAGACUUAUGGAAGGCUUAAAUGGCACAGGUAAGUGGGAUGAUAAUUAUUUUUUGGGUUUUUUGAGUUCUUCAUUUGCCUUUGUGUAGGAAGUUUCUAAAAAUAGCUUCUAAUUGCAAGUGAGGAGCUAAGUCUUAGGGACAAAUAAGCAACUGUGCAGUUCUUCCUAGCCACAGUCUGCAGGAAUUUAGGGAGCUGUGUAACCACAGCAAUGAUGCUUUUUCUCUACCUCAAGUGGCUGGUAUCAUUAUAGGAUUUUUUUUUUUUAAACUUUGCCAAAAACUCUUCUGAAAGCUUUCUUUAUGGAAAGUAUGAAGAGUAUCAAGGAUUUUAAAUCCAACUCCUGAACCUUACAUGUUCUGAUGUGGGAGAGCCCCAUAAUUCAGAAUGAGACUCCCCAUUAGCCACCUGGUAUUGUACCUGACCUCCGGGCCAUUUGGAGAAGUCCUAGCCAGAGAGUAUUGUCCCAGGUCCAAAAACCCCAUUUCCAAACCAAGUGCUGUGCCCAUCUGAGGUCACCAAACUGUGAAGUGUUUUGGAGGCUGUGGAAAAGCUGUGAGUCACAAAUAUAAUUUCCUGCAGCAUCACUAUAUGUGGGUUCUUGCUUAGGGCUAUAUAGAAGCAAAGGCUGUGCCACCUCCAAGAACACACAUGGUGAAAUCAAAGGCUUAUUCUCAGGUGGCUGCAUCUUCAAAGAAGAUGACUCAAUUAAAAAAACACUGUCAGAAUGUCUGAGUCCUUUGGAGAUCCAGCUCAGUCAUGCUGUUUAGUAUCUAUGUACCUGUCACUUUGCUUUAGUUUCAAGUAAGGAAAGGAGAUGAAAAGCAAGAAAUAAGCUCAAGUGACCCUAUGUGGGAUAAAUGGAACACACUGACAGACUAGAGGCAAGGGCAAACUUCCCUGACUACAGCAAUAUACAGCUGAUGGCUGUGAUGAAACACACAAAUGCUUCUGUCCUAUGGUUUUCUCAUGAAUGAAAGGUGAUGAGAAGAGAACUAUUUCAGGCUUCUGUUUAUAAAGUCUUUCAUAAUGCAGAUGGCUUCUGCAUGGUCUUCAGUACCAGCAAAAUAGGUGUUUCUUGGAAGCGUUAGAGAAAAGUAUAAGAAUAUUUCAACAUCAAAGUGAUGACUAACACCAUUCUCUUCCCUAUAUUCUGUUAUUGAUCCUUUCAAUGGCCCUCAUUUAUUAACUUCCUUUUUGCUGUACCAGGAGAUCGUUGACUCGUUAUGAGUCUAGAGGUUAUUUGGCUAAAGGUGAAUGUAGUUAUAUUUUCAUUGUCUUGUUUUUGUUGUUUCACAUCUUACUGACUGGGAAUUUCCUACAAGAAGAUCAUCAAAGGAAAUAAUUCUAUCCCACACUGUGGUGGCAAGUCCUGAAGAGAGAGAGGCUGCCUCAUUUUAGUACAGAACUGAAAGACUUGAUCUGGGGAUGCCCAAAGACGUGCCAGGCUGAUCCAGAAGUAGAAGUCAUUCAAAUGCAAGAAUGAAAAGGGACAUCAAGUUUCUAUGAUAUGGAGCUUAGAUCAGUCAGCUCUCUGCUUGGCAUCAGAAGUAACUGCUGACAAAAUCAAUGUGAUGUGCUGUGCAGGGAACUGUAUAUCACAGUAUCCAUUCAAAUGUACUCAGUGCAAAUGCUGAGCAUUUGAAGACUUAAUGUUAUAUGGCUUCUGUGAGGAGCAGAAAUGGGGACACAGAGAGUGUGAGCUGGAUCUCUUCCUGGGACAUUGAUUUGGAUUGGAACACCAAUAAAAGAGAAAUAGUCUCCCAGUGAUGGAAGAUUUUGAUGGAAGUGUUGAAACAAAGUGCGUGCAAGUAUGACCAUGGUUUUCUCUCCUCCUUUUGCUUGACUGGCCAACAGCUGAAUUCAGAAUGAACAAAUCAGCUCAGACAUAAGGACCCAAAAAUAUCAAAAUAGAGGACCCCUGGGCAGAGCCCUCCUGUUCCUACAGGUCUCCACCCUCAGUGUGGAGGGAAAGAGAGGGGCUGAGGGAAGCGUCUGAUGGAAAUGAAAUCCAAGCAAUCACACACUGAGGAAGACACUGCAUUGAAUGGGAGUCCAACAGGGUACCUGGUGCCCUUUUAGCACCCACCUGCAGCACUUCACUCACUUCUCCGCUUUUCCUCAUGAAGAAUCUGCAGCACAAUGACCAAGUUAAGAGGAGAAGAGCCAUCCUUUGGUCACAUUGGAACAAAGGAAGAUUAGCACUGGGCAUUACUGAAAAGAUGGAGAAAGCCGAAAGUACAGAGAAGGUAAAGACAGUAGAAGACAUCCAGGUGCUGCCCCACAGAACAAGAGGCUCCUAAAGGUGCCAGUCCUACAAUAAGGAAAGGCUCAGUACAUGGACAAAGGCUUCUAAAAACCUACAUGUCCAGAUUGAAAUGCCCCAACAGUGUGCCUCAAGUCUUCUUUGAAGUUAAUGACAGUCAAGGGCAAGUGUUAGUCAGGACCAGGUCAGUGCUGUGUGAAUCCUGGGUGAGAAGUACCAUCUCCUUGGUACUGGGAAGGGGGUAAUCUGCCCUGGGAGUAUGUGUGUGUUGUAAAUAUGGUGAUGGUAGUGGUGUCUGUACAGGGACACUGAACUUGCCAAAGCCUCCAGGAAUGUGCUCUCUUGUCAGAAGAGAGAGCAAGAACACACAUUUGCCAAGCAGUCUCAGAGAUGCUUUCAAUUAGGAUAUCCUGGACCUUCCCUGAUUUGUCUUUUGAUAUGAUUUUUGUCCCAUGUGUGAAUGGAAAAGUUGUUGCAGAGCUGAGCCUGGGCUCACAGCUCCUCUGCAGUCUUGCCCCACAGGCUCGAUAUAAUGAGGAACACUAAAGCGAGGGUUUGUUACCAAAGCAAAAAUGCCUCUUGGUGAAUGUGUACAACCACAACUUUUCCUCUGUAUUCUGUUGUGAGAGUGAUGCUGUGACUUCAGCAUCACUGAUGUAGUGAUGUAGUACCACUGGACUACUGUCUGUGUGCCAGUGUGAAGCUGUCACUGUUGCUGUGGUGUCGAUUCAUACACUGUUGUCAGGUUGGUCCUGUCUCACCACUAUUCCUUUCCAAGAAAGCAAGAGUGUGCUUCAAGACAUACAUGGGUACAAAGAGGUGUGUGUGCAUGUGUGCCAUCCACUGCUUAUGUGGUGCACAGCAUCCUUUAAAAGGCAGGUCCCACUUCAGAAUUAAUAUUGAAAACCUUUAGUAGUAAGAAGUGAUUAGAAGCAUUAUUUUAUAUAAAUGCAGCUUUAUUCAGUAAUUCACAUUACUUAAAGUACUUACUUCCUUAAGACUCUACUUGAAUUUUUGAUUUUAUCGUAGCAGGUAAAAAAGCAAACUGUCAUUUUGUUGCAUGGCCAUUUCCAGUCCUCCAGUUUAAUUUUUCUAGACCAGUUUGGUUAAUUGUUUACAGUACAAGGCAAGUGAACAUAAGUGGGGAUGAGGAAAUAGGGGUGGGAAAGAAUAUGCAGGAUAUCAGCAUUCUCUUGUCCCAGGCUCAGCCCUUGACAAGACUUGGAAGGGGCAAGUAAAACUCUGGGAAGAAUGGGUCAGUGUUAAUGGCAGAUGCUUUCAUUUUCCAACUCCAAAUUGCAUGCUGUGUUGUUAUUUUUAAGACCUGGGAAAAGAUGAAUUGGGUCAAAAUAAUUCAAAACCACACAAUGUACUGAUGUUUUGUUGGAGCCCUUAGAAGUAGCCCAUGUGCCACAUAAGUUGAAACAAAUUAAUUUUAGAGCCAGUCUGUCUGCUUUGAGCUUCCUUACUUGAGAAGUGAAGGAUUUUAAGAUGUCUUUCAUGUUGGAGUGGUCCAAGACCUCAUUUAAUAAUGCUUUUAAUAAGGUUUUGAUAUUCAAGUGAAAAGCUGAGUUGAAGGACAAGUGACUGCAAAUUGUAAAGCACAAUCAUCUCUCAUUUUAAUAUUCAGUUAUUUUAUAUAAAUGAUCAUAACAGCCAGUUCAUUCUGCCUUGUCUCUAUGGGCAUUUGGUUUCAGAGGAGGAGGCUGCAGCCUGACAAGCAAUGUAGUGUCUGUUUACCAUUUGGUUUCUUCACAGGGAUUGGAUGUGGCAGCAUCUUGUCAUGACUGUUGCUUGAGCCAGCUAGGAGGUUAAAUAUUUCAUUAUGAUGAUUUUGAUACUUUCAUUGAUCUCCUGUGGAUUCAUAAUUAAAAACAUGACAAAAUGAAAUAAACCGCCCCCAAACAAUUGUGUAUGUCUAAA